UGAUUUUUAAGUGAAUGAAUCAUUUUGGCAAACCCUACUCACGGCAAAUCCCACAAAUCUCACUCGAGAAGCUUCCAUUGAUUCAUUCCAUACUCUGACACUUCCGCUGCGUCCCAACUACAGAGAAGGCCGAUAGACUCUAAUUCAUCUACAUCUCAAUCUCAGAUUAUUUUACUUGUACGCCGUUGAUCCCUGAUUCGUCCGCCGUCACUUCAUCCUCUGCGUCUCAAUCGCAGAUUACUUUACACGUCCGCCGCUGAUCUCUGAUUCGUCCUCUGCCACUUCAUCCUUUGCCUCUCAAUCUUAGAUUUGUGGCUCUGUCGUUGGUGCUAAUGUUUCCCUUCGGUAACUUGUAUCCUUUAACCAAGCGGUCAGUGCGACGACGACUUUUUCCACCGUUCUAUUUGCUUAUUUGAGGAUCAUUAUAUUCUUCAACUUGGUUUUGGUUAUUCUUCAACUUGUUCAAAAGAUAUAUUUAGUAUGCAUUCUAUUCUUAGAUUAUGAGUCAGUUUUAAUUCAACAAAAAGGAUAAUAUAUAUAGUUUUGUUUAGUGCUUUGUGUAGAAGGUCCUAAAGUGGAGCCUGCCGGAUCGGAGUGAAUAGCUGGGUGGAACAACAGAUACAUGAAGUUAACAUCAAGUGGAGGGUCGUUGAAGCUGUAGGUUUCGUGGAAAUAUUCCAUACUGUGGGAUUCGCAUUAUUGGUUGUCCAUUUUGUUGUUGUGAGUUUCUUAGAAUGACUGAAAUCAUUAUGAGAUUCUCAUAAAGAAAAGGAUUGUUUCAAAGCUAUGUUCGAUGAGAGCGAUCUAUAUUGCUCUUGGGUUAAGGCGGCAGCCACUAGAAGUCCACAGGAGGGCAAUACUAGAUUGGAGAAUAUGUGUUAGAAGAAUUUAGAACUUAGCUCGUCAGAAGAAACAUGUUCUUUUUUUGCAUUUACACAAUACACGUGCACAUAUAGGCUAACCUGAGGAAGUAAUGGAUUGUUUGAUAGGAAAAGAUUAUGUAUGAAUCUUGUCUUCUCUUCAGUUUCUUGCUGAGAUUUGUGGCUCCAAUUAUAUAAAAAUUCGCAAGUUCGUGGCUCCAACUCCUUCCACUGCCGCAAGAUGUGAAGCAGUUGACGAUUGUUGCUUUAAGUUUAUAUGAAGCAGAUGACGGAGUUGAAGAAUUAUUGUGUUCCAUUUUGUUAUAUUCCCCGUCUAGUAUUAUUCGUAGAAAUCUAUGAGUUAUUUGACACUCCACUCCUACAAUAACACUUCCGUUUUUGGGAAGCUUGUAUACAUCUAACUUACAAAUUUCUAUUGACUUCUAUACUCAAGGUGUAACACCUUAGGUCUAGAGUUCAUAUCAGGAUUCGGUGUUCGGAUCUCGACAUUCCCCUACAUCCUAGCAACACCAUCCUUACUUGUCUUAAAGGCUUAUUAGAGUGAAAGUCUUUCCGAUAAAUCAACACAAGUCAUUUCAGCAUGCUUUUAUAUGCAUAAUGGGAAAAUGCCUAAAAGGUCACUCAACAUAAAAUUGUUUCAAGCUAAGUACGUUUAACUUUGGAGUUUCUAUGAUCGAGCCACGAAAAAGAAAGAUGCACUUUGUUGGUAAAGAUUUGCAAAGAAGGGGAAGUGGACAGAUUUAUAAAGAUAGGUGCUAGGGUUGCUCUACUCGCCGUCGCUAGAAAGAAACCGUUGCCGUCAGUGGUUGCUUUGCUCGUUGUCGCCACUCCCUUCGUCUUCAUUUCUGUCUCUUGCUCUGUGGUGUUGUUUGAGUUGUCACUACAAGAAAUUGGAGAUAUCCCGUCGCACAAAAAAAUGUCAGAAAAGACGAAGUCAAGAAACAACACUUAUCCCAAUGUCGGGGAAGACGUGUCGGGAUUGGUCCUCUAUUUUGACGUGCUUUUGAAGAUGUCGGUAUAGACUAAUGUUUCCUCGACGCCAUGCAUGUAGACGUUUAGAAAUCUUUAAUUAGAAUAAUAUUUUUAAUUUUUCUUAAUGCCGUAAAAGUACACGUCAGCAAUUGUUGGGCCAUUAUCGACGUGUAAUUUCAUGGUGUUGAAAAAAAAUUGAAAAUAUUAUUUUAAUUAAAGGUUUCCUCGACAUCUACUUGCAUGUCGACGUCAGGGUAUGCCGACGUUGCCACGGUUGACCACGUUAGGGAAAACUUGAAAUUUAAAAAAUUAUUUUAACUUUUUCCUGACGCUGACAAAGAGACGUCGGGAUCAAUUUGCCUUUGAUC